rnacentral:ncRNA from 1 species
CCAAAGGCUCUUUUAAGAGCCCUCCACUUUUUCUUUAGAAGAGCUG